GAUGAAUGCUGGCGGCGUGCCUUACACAUGCAAGUCGAGCGGCAGCGCGAGUAGUUUACUACUUGGCGGCGAGCGGCGGACGGCUGAGUAACGCGUGGGAACGUGCCCCAAAGUGAGGAAUAACUGCCCGAAAGGGUGGCUAAUGCCGCAUAUGAUCUUCGGAUUAAAGUCUUCGGACGCUUUGGGAGCGGCCCGCGUCGGAUUAGGUUGUUGGUGAGGUAAUGGCUCACCAAGCCGACGAUCCGUAGCUGGUCUGAGAGGAUGAUCAGCCAGACUGGGACUGAGACACGGCCCAGACUCCUACGGGAGGCAGCAGUGAGGAAUCUUCCACAAUGGGCGAAAGCCUGAUGGAGCAACGCCGCGUGCAGGAUGAAUGCCUUCGGGUUGUAAACUGCUUUUAUAAGUGAAGAAUAUGACGGUAACUUAUGAAUAAGCACCGGCUAACUACGUGCCAGCAGCCGCCGCUG
rnacentral:rRNA from 1 species